AGAACGAACGCUGGCGGCAGGCCUAACACAUGCAAGUCGAACGCGAUCUUCGGAUCGAGUGGCGCACGGGUGAGUAACGCGUGGGAAUCUGCCCUGUGGUACGGAAUAACAUCGGGAAACUGGUGCUAAUACCGUAUAUCCCCUGAGGGGGAAAGAUUUAUCGCCAUGGGAGGAGCCCGCGUAGGAUUAGCUAGUUGGUGAGGUAACGGCUCACCAAGGCGACGAUCCUUAGCUGGUCUGAGAGGAUGAUCAGCCACACUGGGACUGAGAUACGGCCCAGACUCCUACGGGAGGCAGCAGUGGGGAAUAUUGGACAAUGGGGGAAACCCUGAUCCAGCCAUGCCGCGUGUGUGAUGAAGGCCUUCGGGUUGUAAAGCACUUUCGCACGUGACGAUGAUGACGGUAACGUGAGAAGAGCCCGGCUAACUCGUGCCAGCAGCCGC
rnacentral:rRNA from 1 species